rnacentral:rRNA from 1 species
UUUAAAUUGAGAGUUUGAUCCUGGCUCAGGAUGAACGCUGGCGGCGUGCUUAACACAUGCA